GUAGGUUGGCCUCUCAAUGUCAAGGGAACGCCUGCAUAUGUCAUAAAUGGCCUCGUUAUCAAGCAGCACAGACACAUCUGUGUGCUCAAGCAGGGAAUGGGUGGAGAGAACACUGUUAUAAGGCUCAACAACAGAGGUUGAAACUUGGGGUGAAGGAUAGACAGUGAAACCAAGCUUUGACUUCUUGCCGUAGUCCACAGAAAGGCGUUCCAACAACAGGGAACCAAGACCGGAGCCAGUGCCACCACCUACAGCAUUAAAAACCAGAAAGCCUUGGAGACCAGUACAGUUGUCAGCAAGCUUUCUGAUGCGGUCCAAGCAAAGCUCAACAAUCUCCUUCCCAACUGAACCAAAAACACCCUUCUUAGAAUCUGAUAUUCAAUUCAUUAAAGUAAAAUAGCAAAAGAAUUAAUAUGUGAAACACAUAAAUGAAAGGAGCAGCAUUACUGGUAUAGUGGCCACGAGCGAAGUUAUUUGCCGCAUCCUCCUUGCCGCUGAUAAGCUGCUCAGGAUGGAAUAGUUGGCGGUACGUUCCUGUCCUAACUUCAUCAAUCACAGUGGGCUCAAGAUCUACAAAAAUCGCACGAGGCACGUGCUUUCCAGCCCCAGUUUCGCUGAAGAAGGUGUUGAAAGCAUCAUCGC
rnacentral:lncRNA from 1 species